AUUGAACGCUGGCGGCAGGCCUAACACAUGCAAGUCGAGCGGGGUUUUCGGACCUAGCGGCGGACGGAUGAGUAAUGCGUAGGAAGCUACCCGAUAGAGGGGGAUACCAGUUGGAAACGACUGUUAAUACCGCAUAAUGUCUACGGACCAAAGUGUGGGACCUUCGGGCCACAUGCUAUCGGAUGCGCCUACGUGGGAUUAGCUAGUUGGUGGGGUAAUGGCUCACCAAGGCGACGAUCCCUAGCUGGUUUGAGAGGAUGAUCAGCCACACUGGAACUGAGACACGGUCCAGACUCCUACGGAGGCAGCAGUGGGGAAUAUUGGACAAUGGGCGCAAGCCUGAUCCAGCCAUGCCGCGUGUGUGAAGAAGGCCUCGGUUGUAAGACGA
rnacentral:rRNA from 1 species